rnacentral:rRNA from 1 species
GAGUUUGAUCCUGGCUCAGGACGAACGCUGGCGGCGUGCUUAACACAUGCAAGUCGAACGGUAAGGCCCCAGCUUGCUGGGGUACACGAGUGGCGAACGGGUGAGUAACACGUGGGUGACCUGCCCCGCACUUCGGGAUAAGCCUGGGAAACUGGGUCUAAUACCGGAUAGGACCGCACCGUGAGGGUGUGGUGGAAAGUUUUUCGGUGUGGGAUGGGCCCGCGGCCUAUCAGCUUGUUGGUGGGGUAAUGGCCUACCAAGGCGGCGACGGGUAGCCGGCCUGAGGGGGUGGACGGCCACAUUGGGACUGAGACACGGCCCAGACUCCUACGGGAGGCAGCAGUGGGGAAUAUUGCACAAUGGGCGGAAGCCUGAUGCAGCGACGCCGCGUGGGGGAUGACGGCCUUCGGGUUGUAAACUCCUUUCACCAUCGACGAAGGUUUUCUGACGGUAGAUGGAGAAGAAGCACCGGCUAACUACGUGCCAGCAGCCGCGGUAAUACGUAGGGUGCGAGCGUUGUCCGGAAUUACUGGGCGUAAAGAGCUCGUAGGUGGUUUGUCGCGUCGUCUGUGAAAUUCCGGGGCUUAACUCCGGGCGUGCAGGCGAUACGGGCAUAACUUGAGUACUGUAGGGGAGACUGGAAUUCCUGNUGUANCGGUGAAAUGCGCAGAUAUCAGGAGGAACACCCGGUGGCGAAGGCGGGUCUCUGGGCAGUAACUGACGCUGAGGAGCGAAAGCAUGGGUAGCGAACAGGAUUAGAUACCCUGGUAGUCCAUGCCGUAAACGGUGGGCGCUAGGUGUAGGGGUCUUCCACGACUUCUGUGCCGUAGCUAACGCAUUAAGCGCCCCGCCUGGGGAGUACGGCCGCAAGGCUAAAACUCAAAGGAAUUGACGGGGGCCCGCACAAGCGGCGGAGCAUGUGGAUUAAUUCGAUGCAACGCGAAGAACCUUACCUGGGCUUGACAUAUACGGGACCGGGCCAGAGAUGGUCCUUCCCUUGUGGCUCGUAUACAGGUGGUGCAUGGUUGUCGUCAGCUCGUGUCGUGAGAUGUUGGGUUAAGUCCCGCAACGAGCGCAACCCUUGUCUUAUGUUGCCAGCACGUAAUGGUGGGGACUCGUGAGAAACUGCCGGGGUCAACUCGGAGGAAGGUGGGGAUGACGUCAAAUCAUCAUGCCCCUUAUGUCCAGGGCUUCACACAUGCUACAAUGGUCGGUACAGUGGGUUGCGAUGCCGUGAGGUGGAGCUAAUCCCUGAAAGCCGGUCUCAGUUCGGAUCGGGGUCUGCAACUCGACCCCGUGAAGUCGGAGUCGCUAGUAAUCGCAGAUCAGCAACGCUGCGGAGAUACGUUCGCGGGCCUGUACACACCGCCCGUC